rnacentral:rRNA from 1 species
GUCGAACGCGAAAGUGGAGCAAUCCAUGAGUAGAGUGGCAAACGGGUGAGUAACGCGUGGGCGACCUGCCUUCGAGUGGGGGAUAACAUUCCGAAAGGGAUGCUAAUACCGCAUGACAUCCUUCGUUUAGAUACGAGGUGAUCAAAGCCGGGAGCAAUUCUGGCGCUUGAAGAGGGGCCCGCGUCCGAUUAGCUAGUUGGUGGGGUAACGGCCUACCAAGGCUUCGAUCGGUAUCCGGCCUGAGAGGGCGGACGGACACACUGGAACUGAGACACGGUCCAGACUCCUACGGGAGGCAGCAGUGGGGAAUUGUUCGCAAUGGGCGCAAGCCUGACGACGCAACGCCGCGUGGAGGAUGAAGACCUUCGGGUCGUAAACUCCUUUCGACCGAGAAGAAUGGCUCACGACCUCAUACGUCGUGAGCAUGACGGUAUCGAGGGAAGAAGCCCCGGCUAACUCUGUGCCAGCAGCCGCGGUAAUACAGGGGGGGCAAGCGUUGUUCGGAAUUACUGGGCGUAAAGGGUCUGUAGGUGGCCAACUAAGUCAGACGUGAAAUCCCUCAGCUUAACUGGGGAACUGCGUCUGAUACUGGAUGGCUCGAGUGUGGGAGAGGAAUGCGGAAUUCCAGGUGUAGCGGUGAAAUGCGUAGAUAUCUGGAGGAACACCGGUGGCGAAGGCGGCAUUCUGGACCACAACUGACACUGAGAGACGAAAGCCAGGGGAGCAAACGGGAUUAGAUACCCCGGUAGUCCUGGCCCUAAACGAUGAAUGCUUGGUGUAACGGGUAUCGAUCCCUGUUGU